rnacentral:lncRNA from 1 species
UAAACUAGCUAUGUAUCAGCCACUCUGUAUGAAUGCAUUUAUCUAUAUUAUCUCAAAUUUGUCAACUUCCUGGAAAGGUUAAUAUUGUUAUUACCAUUUUAAGAAUGGAAAGACUGGGGCUUGGAGCUAAGUGAAUUGCCUAUCAUUCCAAGACAAGGUGUUUCAGCUGUCUUUGGGUGAGUCAAAUGCUCAAUAUAUUGAAAAUAUGUUCCAGUGAUUGCUACAGGUGGGACCAUAUCAGGGUCAUACUCAGGGAUUACUGAUUUGGGGCCCAAGUCAUAAAUUACAGGUUUUAAAGUAUCAGUGCUUCUGCAAGGUACUUCCUAGUAUUGAAUAAGCUUCCAACCAUAUUUCUCAAACUAUUCCUUGGCCAGAGCUUCACCAUCUGGACAUUAUUACCAAAUUGAUGAAUUAGUGUGAGAAAGUGUCUCUUUUAUUUCCUCACCUUUCCACAGGCAGCUUGAGGCCUCAGCUGAAGAAGAAAAGGACCAUAAGCAGAAUCUAUAAAUGGUGAAAGCAAACUGUCAACUGGAAUAUAUUCAGAAAUCCGCUCAGCCUAAUGCAUGGGUUCAAGAACAAACAUCAGAUUCAUGUUCUCUCCAAGAAUAUUCUCUCUUCAAAACAUCAGACUCAAAUCUAUUGGUGUAAGUAUGGUACUAGAUUUUUCUUUGCUGAUUCAGAGCUGAUUUUUCCACAUUUUUGAUACCCAGCUGAUUAUGUCACUGGAAUAUUUUAAACAUAUCAAAAGCUCUCAAGGCCUGUAGGAUAUAAGUUCUUGACGGUCUCUCAAAGACAGGAGUUUUUCUGUCUUUGUGGUCUCCCAUUAUAUUCCCUCCACUACAGACUAUGGACUCACCUCUCCCUCAAGCAUGCUCUUUUAACUUCUGGAUAUUUGUUUCCUCUUCCUAGAACACUCAUUCCAACCCUUCUGUUUCCUUUAGAUUCUACUUAGCCUUUAAAUCACCACUCAAUAUUCUCCAUUAAUAGAGUCCUUGACUCCUUUGGCAACAUUAGACAUUCUUGUCUCUGUUUCCAUAGACCUUACCUCAACACUAUUUUAGUAUUUCAUACAAUAUGUUUUAACUUGUUUAUCCGUGAUGCUUCUUUCUAUUACUUUGACCUCAUCGAGGGUACACACUGUGUCUUGUUCAACUUAUUAUCCAGUUUUAAGCUCAGUGCUUC